GUUGAAUUCUUAAUCUGGGUUCACCCACGGAGGAUCCAAACUGUUGGUUUGGUCAGUUGGUCGUCCUGUACAGAGACCAAACAGACAACUCUCUGUCGUUAGAGAAGAUGAAGAUGGAUAUAAUAAGCAUAGCCUCUCACACACCACAGCAGCAGAUGGCAAAAAUCUUUCCUCUCUCUGGGAAUUCAGCUGUGAUUUUGAAGUAGAUUAUGAGUCUGAAGAAAAUGUUCAAGUUGUCUACUCGGCAUUGGCUGUCGAUAAGGAGGUUUUGCUUCGUGAUGCUCCAAUUUAUACCAAUUUUCUUGUGUUAAAACUUCUUUAGUUAGAUGGCGCUAAAUGUUCUGUUCAUCUAUAUUUGCAGCCGGACAAAGUGAAAAAGGCAGAUGUUGGUAUCUAAUGGCAAGCUCUCUGUGCAUUUUGAAGCUGUUGAAGCAAGAUUUCUUCGCACAUCCUUCAGUUCUUUCAUGGACAUUCUCACACUUGCUACAAAAACAAUUGAAGAAUUUGGACAAGGAAUGGAAUUAUUGCAUUCUUCUUAGUACCCUCCUGUUAUUGCUUGUUACUGGUUUUUCCAUCCAUUGAAAUUAAUGCUUCAGAUUUAAACGUUUAAUGCAGCAAUAUUUCAUAACUUUGUUUGAUAUCCAUUGCAAUUUGGACGUCACAGAUAAGAAUUGAGAUGAGUCCAUGUACUAGCAAUGCCAACUCACAAACAACCAUUGUUCCAAAGAAAUAGCAAUGGGCUUGAUUUUGCUAA